AAAACGUGCGCAGGCGGUUAUGUAAGACAGAUGUGAAAUCCCCGGGCUCAACCUGGGAACUGCAUUUGUGACUGCAUGGCUAGAGUACGGUAGAGGGGGAUGGAAUUCCGCGUGUAGCAGUGAAAUGCGUAGAUAUGCGGAGGAACACCGAUGGCGAAGGCAAUCCCCUGGACCUGUACUGACGCUCAUGCACGAAAGCGUGGGGAGCAAACAGGAUUAGAUACCCCUGU
rnacentral:rRNA from 1 species